CCAAGCCCACAUCCUGUCAACUGGCCCAAUUUCAACAGGAAACGCGGCAACCCACGAAGCAGUAAAGCAGGCAGCCGCACAACCUUGCAGCACCUCCGCUUAGCUCUCUGCACAGAAACCUGACUCUAACUUUUCCUUGACCGAUCUCCAAAAAUUCGCUACCCCGGCCGAGAAAACUGCCUGGAAAACUUCCGGAGCUGCGCUCAUCAACAAGAUCAGCUGAAAACUGUCAGACAGUAGGUCCUGCGAGGGAUACCCACCUGCUCCUGACCAUCCAUACCACCAUCAAGGUUGCUGAGAGGGCCACCUGCACAACUUUCCUAUUAUGGAGACAAGACCCAAUGGACCCCAACUGGUCUGCUCUGUCUUGCCCCUAGAUGUCCUCAUCCAUAUUUCUAAACAACACUUACCACCUGUGGAACGAGGUGGCGUCGCCAUCGCAGCUGCCCUCCUGACUCUGGUCCAGACCAUAAGACCCUCAUUCCAAGAACUGAAAAUAAUUUUUAUGUACGUGUAUGGCAUCACUGUCACCGCAGAACUAGGUGACCUGUUCGAUGUCACAGACCGCCUAGUCCACCCAAACUACGAUGACCAAGACAAUGCCGCCUACGCUGCUGCAGUGACUGCACUCCUGAACAAAAUCAAAGAAAUCUUACCCAUUCAACAUCAGUAUUAUAUCGUCAAACAGUGUGUGCAAAAAGCCAACGAGACCCCAUAUGAUUAUUUCCAACGCCUGUUUGAAGUUUUUUAAAUUCACUCCGGACUACAGGAAGAAGCAGGCUGGCGUAACUCACCACGCAGCACUCCAUUUGAAGGUUUUCUGUGCCAUCGCUUCUUAGAUGGGCUAAUAGAACCAAUAAGAGAGGCUGCAAAGCAGUCCUACAUUGGCUGGAAAAGCGAACCCCGCAUUAUUGAGAUGAUAAACCACGCCACCUAUGCAUACGAGGAAUUCAUCGACAAAGAAGAAAAAGCGCAAAAGAAAUAAGAAAAGAUGAUGGAAGACGCUCAGUUAGCCUUUCUCCAAGCAGUCACCAGACUACCAGGUUUACCAGGUUUGGCCCAACCACCAACAACGUGGCUAUCCUGCAGGCCCACCUCAACACCAAGGCCCUUACACAUACAGCUCCCGCGACGCCUGUUACAACUGUGGACAGAGAGGACACUGGGCUCGGUUCUGCUCACAUCAAAGAAAUCAAGGAAGAGGACGAGGAUUCAACCAAACUUCAAUCCAGGAACUCAACAAGCACCUCAGGUAACCUGAGCUACCCACGGUUUCGGCCCACUCUGUAGACCCAACGUCUAACAGGGGCAGCAUGACGCCAAACGUGCUGAAGGUGCCGGCCCUGGGAGGAACCAUUGGGAUGCUGGACCUCCUCAUCCCGGCCAUCAUCAUACUCCAACUCGAGCCUCCAGCACCGCCUAUGACAGUACCCCCACCACGAUUCUACUACAUCAGCAGGUUGAAAUGAACUAUGUUGAAGGCACCACCAUGUCCAUAAGACUCACCACCUGUAGCUACCUUGUAUCAUAAAUGUUUUCAAAAACCCCAGGGUCCAGCAAAUCCUGGUUGAAACUUAUGUCCAGCUCCAGAACCUCUGGGGAGAAGGUGUUAGGUUUGUACCGGAGCGCCCCAAAUGACCACCCCCAUACAUAGAACACCUGUAAAUAAUACCUUUUAUUUUCUAUUUUUAUUAUACCUUCUUUACCUUUGCUUAAACUAUCAGAGGACUGUCCCUCACAAAAGCAGCAGACUUCCAAACACAACCUGUGAUUGAAAUAACGCAAACCACUCCAACUGGGAAGGUUAUUUUAUGAUGCUUUAUUGUGUUGUCUCUCCUGUCAGAACAUGCAUUAUAUUCAAAUAAUUUUUAGCUAUUGUAUUGUUCCUUAUGGAACAAAAGGGAGGAAUUUUGAAAGGAAACUUAUUGUUUAAUCAUAUUUUAUCAUUUAUUGCAUUAACCAUGUUGUUUCAUUAUUAAUUUAGAAAUGAAGUAUCAUGUUUUGUUUCUUUUUAACUUACCAGAAGAGUCAUAAAAUAAAGAAUGUGUAGACAGUUGAACUUUUGUUUCCCUGCACAAACAGUUCUGAGAUUUCUAUGUGUGAAGAUGAUUAAUAGGUGUUGGUUCCGUUGUUAAGACCAAAUAAGUUGUUUGUCUCUGCAGAAGUCUCACAGUCUAUACAAGCAAGACAAGGAAGCUCAUCUCGAGGUAUACGACUGUGGUUACAUUUAUGCAAAAAUAUGCGCAGGAACUAGUUUCACACCUCUGAAUAAUUUCUAGAAAUUCCUUUGUUUCUUUUUGCAAAGCCACAACCCAUGUUUAGUGCAAACAUCUGUAUAUAAGAUGCAUGCUCUGUAACCUUGUUCAGAGAUCACUGACGGAUUUGAUCUGCCUGUGCUGUUCUCUAUCUGCAGUUUCUCAUUAAAUCUGAUUUGUUCUCCACUA